CAGACAGGCAGGUGAGUUUGGUGCCCAUCUGGCAGGAAACUGAGGCUUAGGGCCUCUUGAAAACUGAUUGCCUACUGAAGCCCCUGACAGAAUGAUUCUCCGCUCCUUCAGAAAAGAAAACAGGCAUGGGACAGGAACAAAUGGCCCCUACGGAAGAGGUGGCCUCGGACUUCAACAUGAGUCCAGUCUGGAAGGAGAAACCUUGCCAGCUCCUGAGUUCAGCUCUUCCAUCUCAGUUCUAGCACCUCGACUCUUCUAAGCCCUGGAAUCCCAGGCAGAAGGGAAACACAUAGUUUUUCCAAGCCCAGUAGCACAUAUUCCAACCAUCCAUGUAUUCAUUUGUUCAUUCAACAGACAUUUAUCAAACCCCUAUUUGCUGCCAAGGAUUGUACACUAUGGAAAUAUUUUUCUGAUAAACAACUAAGAAGUG